UUUACUUCCCGGCCUUUUGGCUAAGAUCAAGUGUAUUAUCGUGUCUAUGUUAAGCACAGUUUUUUGUUUGCUUGUUUUUGAAACAGAGUCUCACUCUGUAGCCCAGGCUGGAGUGCAGUGGCACGAUCUGGGCUCACUGCAACCUCCACUUCCU
rfam:Homo sapiens chromosome 1, GRCh38 reference primary assembly.